CGGAACCCGCCGCGGGCGCGCGCCCAGCCUACAGCGCCGCGCGGAGGCCAAGGGGAGCGUGCCCGCGCCUGCGCACUGGCUGGCUGCGCCCACGCACGCUCCGCUGCCCCCACCCGUUAGGCAUUGCGGGGAUUCCCAGUCCGGGUCAGCCCCAGCGCCAGCCCCGCCCCUAGAUCACCGCCGCCUUCUCCGAGCCGGGUGCGCCGCGCACGCGCACGCGCGCCGUCAUCCUCCGCCUCCGGGAGUCCUCGGCGCCCGAGACUUCCAAGCAAACCCGGGCGAGGGUUUCCUGCGUGGGCUUUGAGCCAGGCGCUGAGCAGCAGGGCAAGGAGAGGCUGCGACCGACUCAGUCUGUGGCAUGUCGUUUGCAGGCGAAAAGCCAUCUGCCUCUUAAUUUUCGGACUUCACUGCAGAAUUGUUUUCUGAAGCACUUUAGAUAUUACUGUCGGCUUGUUAGCUAACUGUAAACCACCACCACCACCACCCCCUCCCCGGAGAUUGGCCUUCUAAGUUUUACAGCUGUUCUCUGUUUAGUUCCUGUCACCGUUCUAGGGUCGGCCCAGCAAAUACUACUUCCCCAGUUUUAACAGAUGUGGAAACAACCCAGAGAGAUGAAUUGACACUCACCCCUAGAUCAAGUGGCAGAAUCUGAAACCUAACUCUCUUUCACUGAAUCCUUCCCUCGUUCCCCAUCGCCCACAGGAUAAAACAAAUUAAUCGCGAGUGAAUAACCUGUAUGUAUCCGACUGAUUUUAGCCUUCGCCACCCUGAACCAGAAAGCAUCUUUUCCACCCCCUCUCUUCUUUCUCAAGUACCCCUUAACAACUUCCUGUGCCUUUUUUUUUUUUUUUUUUUUUUUUUUUUUACCCUCGCUCUGCAUCUACUUGGCUUCUGGGUACAUUAUGGAGUCCACCUCCUUCCUGCCUAUUCCAGACCACAUUUCCACUCCCGGAGAGAGAUGGGAGCUGCACCCGCCAGGUCCAGAGAUCAUCUUGAAGAAGGAGAACAAGGGGGCCGUGCAAAGAACUGGUGGAAGCAGAACCCCCAUCCUGGUCUGAACCACAGGACUCUGUACUUUCACAUAAGAAAGGGAUCCUGCUUUCUGAAUACCAUUCUUCAGUGUAACAAACCGGGGCUCCUAGAGAUUCUAGGGCUAUGGCAGGAAAAGUCCCCAAUGAGCCUGGAACAUGUUGUGCCAAGCAGUAAGGAAGUGCUCAAAGAAGGAUGGAGAUACAUCAAAGAACACAGGGGCCAACUCAGAGGAGCUCUCUAUAGCCAAACCUGGUACAAUUUGAGCGAAAAAUAGUAAUAAUGGAUUAUAACCCACAGAAUGAAAUAAAAAUUCAAGACACUAUCCCUAAAGCUAUAAAAAUAAUGGACUAGGAGAUGCCAAGUGACGUGUGUGCAUUUUUUAUUACUGUGUACUUCUGGCGACUAUAGUUUGAAAUACUAUUUUUUACCAAGUUUUAUAAAAAUGCAGAAUUUUGUUUACUUUUUUUUAAAGCUAUGUUGUUAGCACACAGAACACGUCAUUGUUGUUUUGGGGGAAAGGCUUAUGUCACUAAUAAAUACCUCCAAAAUUAGAUUGAUACAGGAAGAAAAACACUUUUCCCUUUUAGUUUUGAGAAACUUCCCUUGGUUCCCGGGAGGAGGGAUUCCUUGAUGUUGACACAUGUAAGCCACCUUGGCACAGACGCCUUGUGGUGUGGAAAAACUAAAAUUCAUUUUUUAUGCCCUCUUCCCUCUCUCCACCUUCAACUUCAAUGGGACCCCAAGCAAUGGUUCCCAGUGUGUCAGGCAAUCUGGACUUUCCAGUGUUACCAUGGAGAUGGUAUCCGUUAAAAGAGUUCCUUUUUUAGUUUGUGGGUCUUAAGAUUGAUAAUUCUGUCAUUUUCAUUUCAUUUCCUGAAAGUCGGGGUCGGCUUGUGAAAAGUUGUUAAACAACAUGCUAGAUGUGAAAUGUCAGCCCUCACUCUGAUAUUCAGAGCACCAGAUGAAGACUUCACAGGGUUGCAGAGAGGCGUUCUGAUUUGGGUAGUCCAUUGAAGAAGGGAGUCUGAAUGUUGUAUGCUGUUAACGACUGUCUCCCCACGUCCUGCCUGAAAUACCAUGAUUGUGUAUGAAAAGUGUCUUUAAUAAAGCUGGAUACAGUUUGGCUUGCAAUUAAAAAAAUAAUAAUAAUGGACUACAUAAAUGGGGGAAAGCUACAGUUCCUUUUUACAGCAGAAUUGCCAUUAAUAAAUGUAGAAAGAACAGUGGAAAUAGAAAAAUCACUAUUUGGUAAAAACCACAGUGAUAACCACUGCAAACAAGAAUCAAGGGAUACUAAAGUUAGUGGGAAAAAGGAUGAAGUGGGGCGCCUGGGUGGCUCAGUCGGUUAAGCGGCCGACUUCGGCUCAGGUCAUGAUCUGACAGUCCGUGAGUUUGAGCCCCACGUCAGGCUCUGUGCUGACCACUCAGAGCCUGGAGCCUGUUUCAGAUUCUGUGUCUCCCUCUCUCUGACCCUCCCCCGUUCAUGCUCUGUCUCUCUCUGUCUCAAAAAUAAGUAAACGUUAAAAAAAUUUUCUAAAAAAAAAAGGAAAAGGAUGAAGAGAACAGGGUAUUUAUAUACUCAUAGAGUAUCUCCCCACAGGAUGUUGAUUAAUUACAAAGGAAAACAGUAACUGUGUAGCAGAGAAACCUCAGGAAGACACCAGUUUUACCAAAUGAUCAAAAUUAUUAUGACCAGUAAUUAGACACAUCAACACCAGCAGAUAUGGCAUCCUGAGAAGGGUACAUCACUUCUGCGGUAUUUUUGCCUAAAAAUGCUUAACUUCAGUCUAGUAAGGAGAAAACAGUGAGGUUUGUCCUACAAAAUAACCCGCCAGAGUGUUGCAGUGGCAAGGAAAGACUGAGGAACUAUUCCAGAUUGAAGAUGAAGGUGACAAGACUGCUAUAUGCCAUGUGGGAUUCUGAAUGGGAUCCUGGACUAGAAACGGGAUGCUCAUGGGACACUUGGCAAAAUUCAAGUCAGAUUAGUAGAUGAAUUCCUAGUAUUAGAUCAUCAUUAACCCCCUGGCUCUGGUCCUUCCACUGUGGUUAGAUGAGACGUUAACAUGAGGGCAGUCUGAGCAAAGGGUGCUAUACUGGCAACUUUUUUUUGUAAGUCUAAAUUUUCAAAAUAGAAAAGACUGCAUGCUGGUAGCCAGUGUCAAGAGGGGACAGACUAUAGGAUGGCAAAUAACUUCCAACUAAACUUCUGACAUGAUCAGUUGUCAGCACUGCCCACUGCUGGGAAUGUUAAGUAUUCUGAGGCUUCCUUC